UGAUGAUGAUGAUGGUGGUGGUGAUGGUGAUGGUGAUGAUGAUGAUGAUGAUGAUGAUCAUCAUCAUCAUCAUCAUCAUCAUCAUCAUCAUUUAAC
rnacentral:pre_miRNA from 1 species